CGCAUCUCGUCACACACCGGCGCGCCCCGACACACCCCUAGUGGUUGUUUAUUAUUAGUACGUACUUCAGUGGAAAGGUUCGAGGCUUAUUGGCAUUGUUUCUGUAUUACGUUUUUUGUUUUGUUUGUCUUUGCAUUCACUUGCGGUUUCGAGCGUCAGAGGAUUUAUGACCUAUUAAGUUUUCAUUUGUUGUAUAGGUUCUUGGUCUAUUCGGUGUUGUUUUUCGUGUUCUUUUCCUUUCUUUUAUUUUUAUUUGUAACUUUUUUUGGGGGGUGCGAAUGAUUCCCCUGAGGAAACGUAACUGACGGUUCGAUGAUGUAAUGUGAUUUCUCUUUUUUUUCUUGUUUUGGUGACCUUUCUUUUUUAGUGUCAAAUGUGGCAUAGAUUUGAGGCAUUAGCAUGACACACACACACACACACACAAACACACACACUUUACAGUUAUGCAAUCUAAUCUACACCAGUUUUCCACCUUUAUAUACACACACACACACACACACACACACACACACACACACACACACACACACUUUACAGUUAUGCAAUCUAAUCUACACCAGUUUUCCACCUUUAUCCACCAGUCCAUUCAUAUUCCUUUUAGUCACCACUUGUUAUAUUAUUGGCACUUUGUGAUAAAUAUGUUCGUGUGUAUGCAUGUGUGCCCUCGUGUGUAUGUGUGUGUGUGUGUGUGUAGGUGUGUGAGAGAUGGGUAUCGUGAACGUAUGAGUGUAUGUGAGAGCGUGACCUGUGUGUGAGUUGUGUACAUAUAUACAUAAAUAUAUAUACAUAGACAAUAGAAUAAUAUGCGUGCGUGUAUACCUUUGUUGAUAUUUUUGAUAACUCUGCUAGUGCUGUUAGCCCCCAGACUGACAUAUACAAAUAUUACUAUAAUAACGAUAAUAAUAUUAAUACUAAUGAUAAUAUAUAUUUUUAUUUUCGUUUGAACGAUUUCUCCGCUGCUUUGAUAUUAACUGUUACUAUAUUACCAUCACCACUACUACUACUACUAUUACUAUGACUAUUACUACUAUUACUAUUCAUGAUGUUAGAUAGGAGUGUUUAUUUUCCCAUCGCUGCUAUCCUUGUGUGUGUGUGUGUCUGUGUGUCUGUGUGUGUGUGUCUCUCAGUUUCUUUCUAUUUCCUUCUUUAUCUUCUUUAUGCUUUCCCAUCAUACCUCAUUAAGCCUUGGAGGAGGAGGAGGAGGAGGAGGAGGUAAACAUAGAAGAAGAGAAGAAGAGGAAGAAGAAGAAGAAGCACGAGACAAUAAGUGAUAAAUAUGCAGAACAAAUCUAAAUGAACAAAACAGUUUUCUCUCUCUCUCUCUCUCUCUCUCUCUCAUCAGAAAAAAAAUCACUGUCCGUCUGUGAAAAUUAACUGUACGUAAUAUUCUUUUUUUCCCCGCUCUCGCUGCCUCGAAACGUAUGACCGCAUAUGUUCCUCUCGCACUUCUUGUAUAUCGUUAUUAUUAUUAUUAUUUCUUCUUUUGUAUAUGCAUCUUUUUUUUAGGGACAGGGAGGGAAAGGAGGAGGGACAGGGAGGGGAAGAAGGAGGAGGGACGGGAGAGGGAUGGGGAGGGAGAGGAGCGUAAGGGAAGAGAGUAGAAAGAUUUUUUUUAGUAAUAUUUAAAGUAACAUAAGGAGUUUGCUGUGUAUACUACCAUUACUACUACCACAACUACUACUACUACUACUACUGCUUCUACUAUAACUACAUAUUGUUAAAAGGGAAGAGGAGGAGGAAGAAGGAGAGGGAGAUAAAAGUUAGAAAAGAGGAAAGAAAAUAAAGAAUUAAAGAUGUGAAGAGAACAGGGAGAAGGAGAAGGAAGGUAGGAAGAAGGGAAGAGGGAAAGAGAGAAUAAUUAAAUAAGUUCUGAAGUAAAGAGGAGAGAGCAAGAAAGGGAGAAAGUGACAUUAGGAAGAAGGAAAGGAAGUGGGAUAGAAUAAAUAAAACAGGUAAUAUAGAAGGAAAAAAGGGAGAAAGGGAGAGAAGUUAAGAGAAAGAAGGGAAAAGGAGUAGAAGGGAGGAAUCUAAAUAAGUAUAUAAACAAAGGAAAAAGAAAAGAGAAUUGAGAGAUGAAGUAGAAGGAAGGAAAGGAGGGAGGUAGAGGGAAAUGAGAGGAAUCUAAACAAAUAUAUAAACAAAGAAAGAGAAGAAAAAAGAAUGGAGAUAUGAAGUGGAGGGAAGGAAAGGAAGGAGGUAGAGGGAAAAAAAGGAAAUCUAAACAAAUAUAUAAACAAAGAAAGAGAAGAAAAAAGAAUGGAGAUAUGAAGUGGAGGGAAGGAAAGGAGGGAGGUAGAGGGAAAUGAAAGGAAUCUAAACAAAUAUAUAAACAAAGAAAGAGAAGAAAAAAGAAUAGAGAGAUGAAGUGGAGGAAAGGAAAGGAGGGAGGUAGAGGGAAAUAAAAGAAUCUAAAAUAUAUAAACAAAGAAAGAAGAAAAAAGAAUAGAGAGAUGAAGUGGAGGAAAGGAAAGGAGGAAGGUAGAGGGAAAUGAAAGGAAUCUAAACAAAUAUAUAAACAAAGAAAGAGAAGAAAAAGAAUAGAGAGAUGAAGUGGAGGGAAAUGAAAGGAAUCUAAACAAAUAUAUAAACAAAGAAAAAGAAGAAAAAAGAAUUGAGAGAUGAAGUAGAGGGAAGGAAACGAGGAAGGGAGUUAGAGGAAAGAACUGAAAAAAAAAGUAUGGAAAUGAAAAGGAGGGAGGGAAGAAUUGCAUAAGACUGAAUAAGUGUAUACAAAAUAUUAGUGUCUUUUUUUCCUUUUGUUCCUUGCAUCGUAUUUUUACUACACACACUAGGAGGGUUUGGACGCGUGACAUUUCUAGUUUAACACCCAUUUUUGGCGUUGUGUUUUCUUUUCCCUUUUAGAAUGUUUACGUAGUCAUUUGAAGGAUGUUUUGAAUUUACCAUUGUGACCUAUUAUUAUUUUUAUUAUUAUUAUUAUUGUGGUUUUAAAUAAUUACGAAUGCUGUUUUCAAGGGAUGUUCUUUAUUAUUAUUAUUAUUAUUAUUAUUAUUAUUAUUAUCAUCAAGUAGCUGUUUUGUUGUUAUUAGUCAGGUUUGUUUGUUUAUUUUCACACACACACACACACACACACACACACACACACAUAUUUUGGAGAGAAGGAAUUGGGAGGAAAUGAUGAAACAAAUCAGAGAAUAUAAAAGAAAAAUUGGGAAACUUAUACAAGGAAUCAUGGAAGAGAAGUUGAUAGGGAGAAAAAUUGUCACAUUACAUUACCUCCUAAAAAAAAAGAGGAGGUAGAGGGGAGGAGGAGGAGGUGACGGAACUAGGAAAUCUAAUUACUAGGACACAGAUAGCUAUUUUAUUACUAUUGUCGAGGGUUGUGCUCUCUGCUUUGCUGUUUUGGUCUCACACACACACACACACACACACACACACACACACACAUAAAGAAAGGUAGGGCUGAAUUUGUAUAUAGAUAUCAGUAGCAUUAAUUUAAAUUGAAAUACUCCACACACAACCAGCCAGAGCUUCCCUAUACACACACACACACACACACACACACACACACACACACACACACACUCCUGGGUUCUUUUCUUCUCUGGCAGAAUACGAUUAGUUAAGUUAUCGCCUCAUUAAAACCUGUUCAUCUCAUCCUUCCUGGCUAAACUUGCCUAUGGAGGUGUUUGUAUAUUGUCCCCACCCACCACCACCACGCCGCGGGAAGGGAUCCAUCCGCCUAUACAAUCAAUAGCAACAUUAAAACAUUUAUUUCACACUCAGAGGUCUUUUAUUUAUACAACCUGUAACCUUACCCAAUUUUGUGCAUGCCCUGUCAAGCUUAGCCCUACCCAGUCCUCCUCUUUCCUCUAUUCAUUUAUUUAAGCAACCUACAACAUCAUUUAGAUAUUUAUUCCACACUCAGAGGUUUUAUUUAUGCAACCUGUAACCUUACCUAACUUUGUGCAUGCCCUGUCAAGCCUAGCCCUACCCGGUCCUACUCUUUCCUCUAUUCAUUUAAGCAAGCUACAGCGUCAUUUAAAUAUUUUUCCCACAUUCAGAGGUCUUCUAUUUAUGCAACCUGUAAUCUUACCUAACUUUGCCCAUGUCCUGUCAAGCUUAGCCCUACCCAGUCCUAGUCUUUCCUCUAUUCAUUGAAGCAAGCUACAGCAUAAUUUAGAUAUUUAUCCCACAUUCAAAGGUCUUCUACCUGUAAUCUUACCUAACUUUGCCCAUGUCCUGUCAAGCUUAGCCCUACAAGGUCCUACUCUUUCCGCUAAUCAUUGAAGCAACUUACAGCAUCAUUUAGAUAUUUAUUCCACACUCAGAGGUUUUAUUUACGUUAUUUAUGCAACCUGUAACCUCACCCAACUUUGUGCAUGCCCUGUCUAACUUAUCCCUACACAGGCUUGCUCUCUCAUUGCCCUUUUGCCACUCUCCUCUAUUCGAUGAUGUAACCAACCAUUAGCAUCUUUCAAGCAUUUAUUUCACUCUUGAACAUCGUUUGAUUACAUAGCCUUGUACCUAGUGCUAUUGUGCACCCCUAAUUGCCUGAACCCUCUCCUGGUCUGCCCUGUCUUAUCCUAGCUUAGCUCUUGUAUCCUGGCCUACCUUGUUCUGGACGAGGUGAAUGAAAUGGUAAAUUUAUGUUUAUGAGUCAUGCUCAAAGGGAGUAAAAAGAAUACAUAUUUCAAGUCUCUAUGGUUGAAAUCCAAUGUUUAUGCUCGGAAUUGCUGGGAUAAGAAAUAUACACUUCUUUUAUGUUGUUGCAAGCUCAGGCAAAUGUUGUGGCAAUGCAAAGGCCAACACGACACAGGUUUCUCCUCUUGUUUCUUUUCUUUCAUUGUUUGUGUUUCAUGUUUUGAGAUGUUUGAACACGACCUAUUAUGAGGUCAUUUGCAGUGUUGUAUAGUCUCUCUCUCUUUUGUUGGGCCUUGUGCUUGCUUAAAGAAUAUAAAAGGCAGUAUCCAUGACUGGUGUUUUUGGUACAGUCACGGUCAGUUGUGGGUAUCCAAGGUUGUCUUCCGGAAGUUAUCAAGCGCUAAUACUUCUUGAUUUUUUAAUUUUCUGGACUUGUUUGUUCAACAGUUUCCCAUUGCCUGGCGAGGAAACUGAAAAAAAAUGGCUGGAGUUAAUGUACACGGAAGUAAUGUUAUUGGGAUUGUGCCUAAUGUUGAAAAAUAACAACUGUGAUGAUUCA